UGGGGAAUUUUCCGCAAUGGGCGAAAGCCUGACGGAGCAAUGCCGCGUGGAGGUAGAAGGCCUACGGGUCGUGAACUUCUUUCCCGGAGAAGAAGCAAUGACGGUAUCCGGGGAAUAAGCAUCGGCUAACUCUGUGCCAG
rnacentral:rRNA from 1 species